rnacentral:rRNA from 1 species
UACGGGAGGCAGCAGUGGGGAAUCUUGCACAAUGGGCGAAAGCCUGAUGCAGCGACGCCGCGUGCGGGACGAAGGCCUUCGGGUCGUAAACCGCUUUCAGCAGGGACGAGGCCGCAAGGUGACGGUACCUGCAGAAGAAGCCCCGGCUAACUACGUGCCAGCAGCCGCGGUAAU